rnacentral:rRNA from 1 species
UGGGGAAUAUUGGACAAUGGGCGCAAGCCUGAUCCAGCAAUGCCGCGUGUGUGAAGAAGGCCUUCGGGUUGUAAAGCACUUUUAUCAGGAGCGAAACGCUGUCGGCUAAUACCCGGCGGAACUGACGGUACCUGAGGAAUAAGCACCGGCUAACUUCGUGCCAGCAGCCGCGGUAAUACGAAGGGUGCAAGCGUUAAUCGGAAUUACUGGGCGUAAAGCGUGCGUAGGCGGUUUCUUAAGUCUGCUGUGAAAUCCCCGGGCUCAACCUGGGAAUGGCAGCGGAUACUGGGAGGCUAGAGUGUGUCAGAGGGUGGUGGAAUUCCCGGUGUAGCGGUGAAAUGCGUAGAGAUCGGGAGGAACAUCAGUGGCGAAGGCGGCCACCUGGGACAACACUGACGCUGAGGCACGAAAGCGUGGGGAGCAAACAGGAUUAGAUACCCUGGUAGUCCACGCCCUAAACGAUGCGAACUGGAUGUUGGUCUCAACUCGGAGAUCAGUGUCGAAGCUAACGCGUUAAGUUCGCCGCCUGGGGAGUACGGUCGCAAGACUGAAACUCAAAUGAAUUGAC